GGGCUCAUGGUCUAGCUGGUUACGCUGCCCGGGGGGGCGCUGCAAAGGACGUCUCCUUGACAUGGAGAAGAUCUCCAGUUCAAAUCUGGAUGGGCCCA
rnacentral:tRNA from 1 species